AUUGAACGCUGGCGGCAGGCUUAACACAUGCAAGUCGAGCGAGCGGCGGACGGGUGAGUAAUGUCUGGGAAACUGCCUGAUGGAGGGGGAUAACUACUGGAAACGGUAGCUAAUACCGCAUACCAUCAGAUGUGCCCAGGUGGGAUUAGCUAGUAGGUGGGGUAAUGGCUCACCUAGGCGACGAUCCCUAGCUGGUCUGAGAGGAUGACCGGCAAAACGGGAACUGAGACACGGUCCGGACGCCUAGGGGAGGCAGCAGUGGGAAAUAUUGCACAAUGGGGGAAAGCCGGAUGCAGCAAUGCGGCGUGGGGGAAGAAGGCCUUCGGGUUGUAAAGCACUUUCAGCGAGGAGGCGGUACUCGCAGAGGAAGCAACGGCUAACUCCGUGCCAGCAGCCGCGGUAAUAC
rnacentral:rRNA from 1 species